rnacentral:rRNA from 1 species
AUUGAACGCUGGCGGCAGGCCUAACACAUGCAAGUCGAGCGGAGCGGCGGACGGGUGCGUAAUGCCUAGGAAUCUGCCUGGUAGUGGGGGAGAACGUCAGGAAACGGGCGCUAAUACCGCAUACUAUCAGAUGAGCCUAGGUCGGAUUAGCUAUUUGGUGGGGUAAAGGCCUACCAAGGCGACGAUCCGUAACUGGUCUGAGCGGAUGAUCAGUCACACUGGAACUGAGACACGGUCCAUACUCAUAAGGGAGGCAGAAGUGGGGAAUAUUGGAAAAGGGGCGAAAGACUGAUCCAGCCAUGCCGCGUGUGUGAAGAAGGUCUUCGGAUUGUAAAGCACUUUAAGUUGGGAGGCGUUACCAACAGAAUAAGCACCGGCUAACUUCGUGCCAGCCGCCGCGGUAAUUC